rnacentral:rRNA from 1 species
CUUAACAAAUUAGGUUUAACAUUCAAUUUUGACAACCUUAAGAACUCAUCGUAUUAUUCUAAUAGCUUAAAAAAUUUAGUUAAUAUAAACUUUUUAAGAAAAGAGAGACUUUACACAAAAUUAAAGUAUUCUAGGUCUCCAGCAUUUGAUAUUGUUUCUGGUGGUGCGGCAGCACUACUUGCUGGUUUUCUAGGUUUUUUAGUUUCUGAAAAGUUUGGUUUUGAGUUAGUUGAUUCAGGUGAUUUUUAUUACGUAUUCAUGUAUUUAGUUUUCUUAGGAUUUUCACUAAGGCCAUUAUUAACAUCGAUAGAUUAUAACGAUAGUUUACGUAGUAUAUUUUCACCUAAAUUGUUUAUAAAUUUUUAUUUAAAUUUAGUUUACUAUUUUUUCAAAAAGUAUUAAAAAACUUUGUGUACUGUACUACAGUACGUUUUUUAAUAUUAUUAGUGUUUUAAUAUAUAUUAUAUAAAGUAUCUUACAAAAUGUAAUUAUGUGAGAGAAAAUAAGGAGAAUCAACUUCUAGGCUAUAAAUCUUAAUAUCGAUAGAGUAAAGUACCGUGAGGGAAAGGUGAAAAAUUAUUAACAUAAAAAAUGAAAAUACUGAAACUUAGUGUGCGACCUGUUAAAGCGUAAGCGAUAGCGUACCUUUUGCAUAAUGGACUAGUAAGUUAAUAAACGUAGCGAGCUUAAAAUAUUAUUAGGCAUAGAUAACUCGAACUAAAGUUACCUUUAUUAUACCCGAAGCUAAUCGAUCUAAUUAUGGACAGGUUAAGAAAUAUUCGAGGACCGAACCCGUAACUGUUGCACUAGUUUGGGAUGAUCUGUAAUUAGGGGUGAAAGGCCAAUCAAGAUUAGUGAUAGCUGGUUCUCCACGAAAAUUAUUUUAGUAACGAAUUAAAUUUAAAUUUUUAAGGUAAAGUAAUUUUUAGAAAAGGUGAUAGAAUAUUAGACCGUUUGUAGAAAAACUUAUAAUGUAAAAAUUUUAAUUUUAAUAUUUAGACAUAAUCGCGCAAAGGUGAUAUGUCAAGAGGGAAACAGCCCAGACCACUUGAUAAGGUGCCUAAUAGUAUUUUAGUAGAAAGGUUUAUACAUAAAAAAUUAACUAAAAGAUAGGCUUGGAAGUAGCCACUCAUUAAAGAAAGUGUAAAAUCUCAUUAGUUUAAUAAAAUCAUUCUGAGUAAAAAUGGUUGUUUAUGUAUAAUUCAAUAAUGUAAUGGCAUUAAAUUACUAACCGAAGCAGUGGAAGCGUAUAGCUUGGUAGUGGAGUUCUCUGUAAUACAAUGAAGAGUAACUGUGAAGUUGCUUCGAGUAAUCAGAGUUAAUUAUACUAGUAAUAGUAACGAAAAAUUAUAUUUACAAAAUUGUAAUCGCUGAAAUUCCUAGAGUUUCAUUUUAAAGGAAAUCUUAAAUGUUAUAUUCGUCCUCUAAAAUAAAGGUUAAUGCCGUAAGAUUGAUGAGUCGACUACUAUUAUGACGUGUUAAAUUAUUACCGGACUUGUUUAGUUAAGGAAAAAUUAGUAAUUUAACACCUAGAAAAAGAUUAGUAGCUUUAAAUUUUUAUAUUUAUUGUAUGGUUGAAGGUGUAAAAGCCCAAGACUGAUCAUCACAGCGUAUUAAAUCUGACACAAGUGGAAUGGUAGAGAAUACUGAAGCGGUAGAAGAACGCAAUUGAAGGAAUUCGGCAAAAUUGCUCUGUAACAUUUGGAUAAGGAGAACUUUAGUUUAUAAAGUAACAUAUAAGAGGGAGUGGCGACUGUUUAUCAAAAACACAGGACUUUGCAAAAUAUAAUUAUGUUGAAUAAAGUCUGACACCUGCCCAGUGCUUUAAAGUAAAAAACUGUAAGUAUUGCUUACUAGUUUAAGCUCAAGUAAACGGCGGCUGUAACUCUGACGGUCCGAAGGUAGCGAAAUUCAUCGGCGGGUAAGUUCCGUCCUGCAUGAAUGGUGUAACGACUGCUCCACUGUCUCCAAUUGCGAUCUAGUGAAUCUGAAUAUUAGGUGAAAAUGCCUAGAUAGAACAGCGGGACGGAAAGACCCCGUGCACCUUUACUAGAACCUUGUAUUAUUUAGUUUUUAAAAUAAUUUUAGGAAAGCAUUUUUUGCUGUUAUUACCUAAUUUAUUUUAUUACUAUAAUUAUAUUUAAAAAUAUGUUUAAAUAAACAUUGCAAGGAUGCUAGUUUCACUGGGGCGGUGGCCUCCUAAAAAGUAACGGGGGUGUACAUAAGGUUUAAUAAAGUGUAUUUACUACAUGAUCAUUAUAAUGAAUUAAAUUAGGCUUGAUUUUAUAACACACGUGUUAUAAAAGAGCUAAAUCCAAUUUAGCUUGUCAUAGUGACCCGAUAAAUUUUAUUGAUAAAGUUAUCGAUUAACGAAUAAAAGGUACGCCGGGGAUAACAGGC